rnacentral:rRNA from 1 species
UACGUAGGGACCAAGCGUUGUUCGGAUUUACUGGGCGUAAAGGGCGCGUAGGCGGCGUGACAAGUCACUUGUGAAAUCUCUGAGCUUAACUCAGACGGCCAAGUGAUACUGUUGUGCUAGAGUGCAGAAAGGGCAAUCGGAAUUCUGGUGUAGCGGUGAAAUGCGUAGAUAUCAAGAGGAACACCUGAGGCGAAGGCGGGUUGCUAGGCUGACACUGACGCUGAGGCGCGAAAGCUAGGGUAGCAAACGGG